rnacentral:rRNA from 1 species
GACGAACGCUGGCGGCGUGCCUAAUACAUGCAAGUCGAGCGCAGGAAGUCAUCCGAACCCUUCGGGGGGACGUUGACGGAAUGAGCGGCGGACGGGUGAGUAACACGUAAAGAACCUGCCCUCAGGUCUGGGAUAACCACGAGAAAUCGGGGCUAAUACCGGAUGGGUCAUCGGACCGCAUGGUCCGAGGAUGAAAGGCGCUCCGGCGUCGCCUGGGGAUGGCUUUGCGGUGCAUUAGCUAGUUGGUGGGGUAACGGCCCACCAAGGCGACGAUGCAUAGCCGACCUGAGAGGGUGAUCGGCCACACUGGGACUGAGACACGGCCCAGACUCCUACGGGAGGCAGCAGUAGGGAAUCUUCCACAAUGGACGAAAGUCUGAUGGAGCAACGCCGCGUGAACGAUGAAGGCCCUCGGGUCGUAAAGUUCUGUUGUAAGGGAAGAACAAGUGCCGCAGGCAAUGGCGGCACCU